AUCCAGCUGAAGAGUCCCAAAUAGGACGAAAUGCGCGUCAAACUGGAU
rnacentral:hammerhead_ribozyme from 1 species